rnacentral:rRNA from 1 species
UAGGGAAUAUUGGUCAAUGGAGGCAACUCUGAACCAGCCAUGCCGCGUGCAGGAAGACUGCCCUAUGGGUUGUAAACUGCUUUUGUACGGGAAGAAACCUUACUACGUGUAGUAAGUUGACGGUACCGUGAGAAUAAGGAUCGGCUAACUUCGUGCCAGCAGCCGCGGUAAUACGAAGGAUCCAAGCGUUGUCCGGAUUUACUGGGUUUAAAGGGUGCGUAGGUGGACUAAUAAGUCAGUGGUGAAAGCCUGCAGCUUAACUGUAGAAUUGCCAUUGAAACUGUUCGUCUCGAGUAUGGUUGAGGUUACUGGAAUAUAUCAUGUAGCGGUGAAAUGCUUAGAUAUGAUAUAGAACACCAAUUGCGAAGGCAGGUAACUAAGCCAUAACUGACACUGAGGCACGAAAGCGUGGGGAUCAAACAGG